UACGGGGGGAGCAAGCGUUGUUCGGAUUUACUGGGCGUAAAGGGCGCGUAGGCGGCCACCGCAAGUCGACUGUGAAAUCUCCGGGCUUAACUCGGAAAGGUCAGCCGAUACUGCGGGGCUAGAGUGCAGAAGGGGCAACUGGAAUUCUCGGUGUAGCAGUGAAAUGCGUAGAUAUGCGGAGGAACACCGAUGGCGAAGGCAAUCCCCUGGGCCUGCACUGACGCUCAUGCACGAAAGCGUGGGGAGCAAACAGG
rnacentral:rRNA from 1 species